rnacentral:rRNA from 1 species
UACGUAGGUGGCAAGCGUUGUCCGGAUUUACUGGGUGUAAAGGGCGUGUAGCCGGGCUGACAAGUCAGAUGUGAAAUCCGCGGGCUUAACCCGCGAACUGCAUUUGAAACUGUUGGUCUUGAGUAUCGGAGAGGUAAUCGGAAUUCCUAGUGUAGCGGUGAAAUGCGUAGAUAUUAGGAAGAACACCAGUGGCGAAGGCGGAUUACUGGACGACAACUGACGGUGAGGCGCGAAAGCGUGGGGAGCAAAC